UACAGAGGUCUCGAGCGUUAGGCGGAAUCACUGGGCUUAAAGCGUGUGUAGGCGGGUCGUUAAGUGCCUUGUGAAAUCCCAUGGCUCAACCAUGGAACUGCUGGGCAUACUGGCGAUCUUGUGCAACCUAGGGGCGAGCGGAACAGAUGGUGGAGCGGUGAAAUGCGUAGAUAUCAUCUGGAACGCCAAUGGUGAAAACAGCUCGCUGGGGGUUUGCAGACGCUGAGACACGAAAGCCAGGGGAGCGAACGGG
rnacentral:rRNA from 1 species